GAUGAACGCUGGCGGCGUGCUUAACACAUGCAAGUCGAACGGUGAAGGCGGAGCUUGCUCUGCUGGAUCAGUGGCGAACGGGUGAGUAACACGUGAGCAAUCUGCCCCUGACUCUGGGAUAAGCGCUGGAAACGGCGUCUAAUACUGGAUACGAGCUGCGAAGGCAUCUUCAGCAGCUGGAAAGAAUUUCGGUCAGGGAUGAGCUCGCGGCCUAUCAGCUUGUUGGUGAGGUAAUGGCUCACCAAGGCGUCGACGGGUAGCCGGCCGGGGAGGGUGACCGGCCACACGGGGCCUAAGAGACGGCCCAGAGCCCGACGGGGGGCAGAGGGGGGAAAUAUGGCCCAGGGGGGAAAAGUCUGAUGCAAAAGCCCGGGGGGGGGAACGCCGGCUUGGGGGUGAAAAACUUCUUUAGGCGGAGAAGAAGCGGAAGUGACGUUCCCUGAAAAAAAAGCGCCGGCAAACUCCGUG
rnacentral:rRNA from 1 species